rnacentral:rRNA from 1 species
GGCGUGACUGGUAGAUUGAUACCCUGGACGAGUUCCUUCGGGGGUCCCGGCGGACGGGUGAGUACGCGUGGGAACGUGCCUUCUGGUUCGAAAUAACUCAGGGAAACUUGAGCUAAUACCGGAUACGCCCUUUUGGGGAAAAGUUUACUGCCGGAAGAUCGGCCCGCGUCUGAUUACCUAGUUGGGGGGGUAACGGCCUACCAAGGCAACAAUCAUUACCUGGUCUAAAAGGAUAAUCACCCCCACUGGGACUAAAACACGGCCCAAACUCCUACGGGAGGCACCAUUGGGGAAUAUUGAACAAUGGGGGCAACCCUGAUCCACCCAUGCCGCGGGAGUGAUGAAGGCCUUAGGGUUGUAAAGCUCUUUUAUCCGGGACAAUAAUGACGGUACCGGAGGAAUAACCCCCGGCUAACUUCGUGCCACCACCCGCGGUAAUACGAAGGGGGCUAGCGUUGCUCGAAAUCACUGGGCGUAAAGGGCGCGUAGGCGGCGUUUUAAUUCGAGGGUGAAAGCCUGUGGCUCACCCACAAAAUUGCCUUCAAUACUGGUACGCUGGAUUCUGGUAAAGGUUGUUGGAACUGCAAUUGUAAAGGUGAAAUUCGUAAAUUUUCGCAAAACCACCGGUGGCAAAGGCGGUCAACUGGACGAGUACUGACCCUAAGGCGCGAAAGCGUGGGAAGCAAACAGGAUAAACCCC